GGGCCUGAACUUGCUGGAGUUUAGAAGGAUGAGGGGAGAUCUCAUUGAAACAUACCGAAUAAUGAAAGGACUGCAUAGAGUAGAUGUUGAGAGGAUAUUUUUACUAGUGGGAGAGUCUAAGACAGCCUCAGAAUAAAAGGACUUACCAUUAGAAAG